GAUGAACGCUGGCGGCGUGCCUAAUACAUGCAAGUCGAGCGAACAGACGAGGAGCUUGCUCCUCUGACGUUAGCGGCGGACGGGUGAGUAACACGUGGAUAACCUACCUAUAAGACUGGGAUAACUUCGGGAAACCGGAGCUAAUACCGGAUAAUAUAUUGAACCGCAUGGUUCAAUAGUGAAAGACGGUUUUGCUGUCACUUAUAGAUGGAUCCGCGCCGCAUUAGCUAGUUGGUAAGGUAACGGCUUACCAAGGCAACGAUGCGUAGCCGACCUGAGAGGGAGGGGGGCACACAGGGAACCGGAGACACGGCCAGCCCUCAGAGGGGAGCAGGCAGGAGGAAUUCUUCGACAAGGGGCGAAGGCCGGAGGGAGAACCGACGCGUGAGUAAGAAGGGUGUUCGGACCGAAACCCUUUGUUAUUAGGAAAAAAAAAAUGUGAAAGAAACAACGCCCGUCUGAAGGGUCCCUAACAAGAAGCCCCGGACUAGCUCCGAC
rnacentral:rRNA from 1 species